rnacentral:rRNA from 1 species
UACGGAGGGGGCUAGCGUUGUUCGGAAUUAAUGGGCGUAAAGCGCACGUAGGCGGACAGUUAAGUCGGGGGUGAAAUCCCGGGGCUCAACCCCGGAACUGCCUUCGAUACUGGCUGUCUGGAGGUCGAGAGAGGUGAGUGGAAUUCCGAGUGUAGAGGUGAAAUUCGUAGAUAUUCGGAGGAACACCAGUGGCGAAGGUGGCUCACGGGCUCGAUACUGACGCUGAGGUGCGAAAGCGUGGGGAGCAAACAGG